rnacentral:lncRNA from 1 species
AAAAAAAAAAAAAAAACUGAAAUCUUAAGGCAAUACUGUUGACUUUGCACGUGGGCCAGAUGAACUUAGAACUCUUUACCUAGCUGCAGAGUCCCAGGAGCCUACAGGCACUUGGUUUGUCGGCACUUGCCACUGGCAGGGGCAAGAUCUUUGCAUUAUUGCUUAGGCUAUUGGGGUGUUUCUCUUUGGAGUUUAUAUACAAACACACCCAAGGCUGAUGUUUUAUAUAUAUAUAUAUGUACAUGCAUGAAGGCCCACUACUCUUUCUUUGUGGAAACUGACAGUUCUACCUCAGGAAGCUGGAUACCAACCUUGGUCCCACUGUCGUUGCUAGAGGAGGAAGACAGUCGGGACUUCUUCGAGGCCAAGGACACGCCACUCCCCUGUAACUUGCCUGCCUCAUCAUCACUCCCAGUAACCUCAUAAUGACCUUUGCUCUUUGAUCCCAAGCCACCAAAGGUACCAAACUUCAGCUUUCCAUGCUUGCCUUUAGCGUCUCCACCUGCAAACUCCAAAGUCCCAGUUGGGGUGGAAGGCGCUGAGAACUCCCUCUCAUCACUGAAGGAGUUGGAGCGGUGUCGUGGCUUCUUACUUUUAAAUAGGGAGAAUUUGCCUUUGGGUGAAGAUGCUUCCGCUUCCACUUCUCCUUCCAGGGAGCCCAAGCUGGCCUUUGAGCUCUUCAGGUCCCCUUUGGACCCAGAAAUGGAUGCUUCAGGUGAGCCAGUGACACCACCUUUUCCUUUAGAUUUAGAAAAGAUAUGCUUGGGCAUUUUGAUUUUGGAUUUUUUCAGUUUUACUUCAGACUCUUCCCACUUGCCUUCUCCAGCACCAGCCUGCACAUUGGCCUCCACUUUAGGGAAGUUGACAUCCACUCCUACUUCUCUACCGAUGAGCUCGCGGCCAGAGAAGGUAAACUUAGGGAUCUUCAUCUUGGGGAAUGUUACUUUUCCAGAUUCACUUUCCAAGUGACCUUGAGGCCCAGACACACUCAGCCCGGGACCCUGGAGUCCGGUCUGGCCCCCUUUCACGUCUCCUUCUAUCUUUGGUCCUGAGAAAUGAAGGUUCCCAGCAAGUUUAGAUGUAUCCAAGUUUAGAGAAGAGGAGACUUGGGGUCCCUUCCACUCAACUCCAGAGCCUUUGACACUCAUAUGCCCUUCACCCAGGUUGAUAUCUGGGACACUGACACCCCCUGAAACAUCUACACCUCCUUUGACUUUGGGGCCCUUCAAGCUGACACCAAAAUCUGACUCAGGAGAUGCCACAUUAAAGGAAGGCCCCUUGACACCGAUAUCAGGAACAGCUCCAUGGAGACCUAGUCCUGAACCUUUCAGAUCUCCUUUAAUUUCGGGACCAGAAAUCUGCCCUGAUGAGAGUUUCACAUCACACCCAGAAGCCUUAAUUCCAGGCAUUUGGAGGUUUCCUUCUGGGCCUUGAAUGCUGAUGCCUGGAAGAGCUCCCCCAAUCGCUGGGCCUUUCAAUUCACCCGCAGCCCCGAGGCUCCCCUUCACUUUUGGUCCUUCCAAGUUAAAGUCCAUGCUUGGUGCUGAGAUCUGAGGCCCUUUCAGAUUCACAUCCAUCCCUGAUCCCUUUAGUUCUCCACAAACUUGUGGCCCCUUGAUGUUAAUGUCCAAGUCGGAUCCCGGAGUGGAGAUGCCAAACUGAGGCAGUUUCAUGUGGGGAAGUUUGACAGCACCUUCUGAAGCCUCCAAGCUAACAUCAGGAGUAGCCACAGACACUUUAGGACAUUUGAUGUCUCCAGACACAGCCAGAUCUCCCUGUAGACUUGGUCCCUUCAGUGUUACAUCUGGUGCCCCAACACUGAGUGCUGUUGUGGCAUCAAUCCCUGACAUUUUCACACCAUCUGCUCCUAUAUGUACUUUUCCACCAACACCUUUGAGGUCAAGACCUGGGGCGUGCAGCUUCAUGCUGGGACUGGAGGCACCCAGGUCUCCCUUCAAACUUGGUCCUUUCAAGUUCAUGUCAAGAUCAGGCCCAGACACUUUUGGCAUAGAGAGGUCCACCGAAGGCAAGUCUACUCCUGGGCCUUUUAGAGACAGAUGAGGCCCUUCAAGCUUCAUAUCUGAUGUGCUCAACCCUCCUUCAAGAGAGGGCAUCUGAGCGCCGAUCUCAGUGCUCCCACCUUCCAUUUUCACACCUGGGGCACUGAUCUUGGGCAAGGAAAACUUAGGGAACUUGAUUUUCCCUUCUGGACCUUGUAGAUCUAUGUUAGGUCCUUCCAGUCCCACACUGGGAACAUCACCUUUUAUCUUUGGUCCUUUCAAAUUAACAUUCACAUCGGGUAUGGAGACUUGAGGAGCAGAAACACUAAAAGAGGGUGCUUUGAUUUUAGCUUCAGGGCCUUCGAUGUUGAUGUCAGGUGUGUCCAAGUUUGCCUGCACCUUGGGACCUUUCAAGUUGCCCUCUAUCUUUGGCCCUGAGGCUUCCACGCCUGGCACCUUGAACUUGGGAGCCUUCAUAUGAAUAUCAGGAGCUUCCACAUUAAUCCCUGGUGAAGAAAUAUCCACAUCUGGUACCUUGAUUUCACCCUCCAGCUUGGGGCUAGGUAGGGGAGCCUCUGCUUUAAAUUUAGGUGACUUAAUGUCAAAUUCUACAUCUGGAAAGUACAUUUUUCCAAACAUAGUUUUCUUGACUUUGGGAGAUUUUACUUCAGCUUUGAGUGCAGCAUCAGGCCCUGCAACACUAACAUCUACAUCAGGAGCUUUGAGACUGGUAUCAAUCUCACCUCCAGGAAUAUUCAAAUCAAAUCCCUGUUUUUUGGCUUUAACUUUAGGACCACUCAUGUGAAUUUUAGGCAUUUUAAACUUGCUUUUCUUGCUCUUGCCACCAAUGUUUAUUUCAGGAGAAUCAACAUUCAGCUCUGCUUCAGGGACAGUCACAUCAACUGUGGGUGUCUUGAUGUCAGCUUUGGGGCUUUUUGCACCAAAUCCAAACUUGGGUUUCUUAAAUUUCGGAACUUUAACAUCCGGCCCCUCAAUAUUAAUAUCAGGGCUUUCCAUGUGGACAUCUAAGCUUGGAGUUUCUAAAUCAACUUUAGGCCCCUUGAGGUCUACCUCACCACCUCCUAACUUAGGCGCAGAAAUUCCAACUUUCGGUGUCUUAAGGUGCACAUUAGCAUCAGGCCCAGUUAUUUUAGGAACAGAUACCUCCAGCGAUGGCAUCUUCAAGUUAGGCCCACUAAGUUUAGCAUCAGGGCCUUCAAAAUCCAGACCUGGACCUUUCAUAUCUAUUUCAGGUCCUUUGAGAGUACCUUCAAUCUUAGGGACAGACCCAUCAAAGGCUCCUUUUACUUUGGGUCCUUUUAACUCCAGAUCAACAUCAGGCAUAGAGAUCUUGGGAGCCUUGAUGUUAAUCUCAGGCAUCCUGAAUUUGGGACCUUUUACUUUCAUAUCUGGACCCUCAACAUUAACAUCUGGAACAUCAAUGUCCACCUUGGGUCCUGAAACAUCAAGGUCAGCCUUGGGCAGAUUUACAUCCACUUCUGGGCCCUCUCCUUUGAAGCCAGGCAUGCUGAACUUGGGCAUUUUCACCUUGGGCAUCUUCAGGUGCCAGUCUGGGCCAUGAACAUCCACAUCUGGAACAUCAAUGUCCACUUUGGGGCCUUUGAUGUCAACUUCAGGAACUUUAAUCUCACCUUCCACUUUAGGCAGAGACACAUCCACAUCACCCUUCACUUUGGGGCCUUUCAGGUUUAAGUCAAUAUCAGGCAUGGAGAUCUUGGGAGCCUUGAUGUUCAUCUCAGGCAUCUUGAACUUGGGGCCCUUCAGUUUUGCAUCUGGCCCUUCAAUGUUCACAUCAGGAACAUCAAUGUCCACCUUGGGUCCUGAGACAUCAAUGUUAGCCUUAGGCAGGCUCACAUCCACUUCUGGGCCCUCUCCUUUGAAGCCAGGCAUGCUGAACUUGGGCAUUUUCACCUUGGGCAUCUUCAGGUGCCAGUCUGGGCCAUGAACAUCCACAUCUGGGGCACUGAUGUCCACUUUGGGACCUUUGAUAUCAACUUCAGGACCUUUGAGGUCUCCUUCCACUUUUGGUAGAGAAACAUCUACAUCACCCUUCACCUUUGGCCCUUUCAGGUUCAGGUCAACUUCUGGCAUUGAAAUCUUGGGUGCCUUGAGGUGUAGAUCAGGCAUUUUAAAUUUAGGGCCCUUCAGUUUCCCUUCUGGACCAUGAAUGUCAAUAUCAGGAGUGUCAAUGUCCAGUUUAGGGCCUUUGAUAUCCACUUUGGGACCUUUCAAGUCCCCUUCUGGUUUAGGAAUAGAAAUGUCCAAAUCUCCUUUUAUCUUAGGCCCUUUCACAUUCAAAUCAAUGUCACUCAUUGAGAUUUGUGGAGUUUUGAAUUGGACAUCUGGCACCUUAAAUUUGGGGCCUUUGAGUUUUCCUUCAGGACCCUCAAUGUCUAUUUCUGGCCCUUUAAGAUCACCUUCAACAUUAGGGAGUGCAAGGUCCACAUCUCCCUUAACUUUAGGUCCUUUUAGAUUUAAAUCAAAGUCAGGCAUGGAGAUCUUGGGAGCUUUGAUAUGCAUGUCUGGCAUUUUAAAUUUGGGUCCUUUUAAUUUUCCUUCUGGAACUUCAAUAUUGACAUCAGGAGUGUCAAUAUCCACAGUGGGGCACUUUAUAUCAAUACCAGGACCCUUUAAUUCACCUUCCAUUUUAGGCAAGGAAGCAUCCACAUCACCCUUCACUUUGGGACCUUUCAGAUGCAAAUCAAAGUCAGGCAUAGAGAUCUUGGGAGCUUUUAUGUUCAUCUCAGGCAUCUUGAACUUGGGACCCUUCAGCUUUGCAUCUGGUCCUUCAAUGUUCACAUCAGGAACAUCAAUGUCCACUUUAGGCCCUGAGACAUCAAUGUCAGCCUUGGGCAGAUUUACAUCCACUUCUGGGCCCUCUGCUUUGAAGCCAGGCAUGCUGAACUUAGGCAUUUUCAUCUUGGGCAUCUUCAGGUGCCAAUCUGGGCCAUGAACAUCCAUAUCUGGGGCACUGAUGUCCACUUUGGGACCUUUGAUAUCAACUUCAGGGCCUUUGAGGUCUCCUUCCACUUUAGGUAAAGAAACAUCUACAUCACCCUUCAACUUUGGUCCUUUCAGGUUCAGGUCAAUUUCUGGCAUUGAAAUCUUGGGUGCCUUAAGGUGGAGAUCAGGCAUUUUAAACUUAGGGCCCUUCAGUUUCCCUUCUGGUCCUUCAAUAUUAACAUUAGGGCCUUCAAUGUCCACCUUGGGUCCUGAGACAUCAAGGUCAGCCUUGGGCAGAUUUACAUCCACUUCUGGACCUUCUCCUUUGAAGCCAGGCAUGCUGAACUUAGGCAUUUUCACCUUAGGCAUCUUCAAGUGCCAGUCAGGACCAUGUACAUCAACAUCGGGGGCACUGAUGUCCAUUUUGGGACCUUUGAUGUCAACCUCUGGGCCUUUGAGAUCACCUUCCACUUUGGGCAGGGAAACAUCUACAUCACCCUUCACUUUGGGACCCUUAAGAUGUAAAUCUGGCAUGGAGAUCUUUGGAGCCUUGAUGUUCAUCUCAGGCAUCUUGAACUUAGGACCCUUCAGCUUUGCAUCUGGACCUUCAAUAUUCACAUCAGGAACAUCAAUGUCCACCUUGGGUCCUGAGACAUCAAGGUCAGCCUUGGGCAGGUUCACAUCUACUUCAGGGCCUUCUCCCUUGAAGCCAGGCAUGCUGAACUUGGGCAUUUUCACCUUGGGCAUCUUCAAGUGCCAGUCUGGGCCAUGAACAUCCACAUCUGGAACAUCAAUGUCCACUUUGGGGCCUUUGAUGUCAACUUCAGGGACUUUAAUCUCACCUUCCACUUUGGGCAGAGACAUAUCCACAUCACCCUUCACUUUGGGGCCUUUCAGGUUUAAGUCAAUGUCAGGCAUGGAGAUCUUGGGGGCCUUGAUGUUCAUCUCAGGCAUCUUGAACUUGGGACCCUUCAGUUUUGCAUCUGGUCCUUCAAUAUUCACAUCAGGAACAUCAAUGUCCACCUUGGGUCCUGAGACAUCAAGGUCAACCUUGGGCAGGUUCACAUCCACUUCUGGGCCCUCUGCUUUGAAGCCAGGCAUGCUGAACUUGGGCAUUUUCAUUUUGGGCAUCUUCAGGUGCCAGUCUGGGCCCUGCACGUCCAUAUCUGGAGCAUUGAUGUCCAUUUUGGGACCUUUGAUGUCAACAUCUGGGCCUUUGAGGUCACCUUCCACUUUGGGCAGGGAAACAUCUACAUCACCCUUCACUUUGGGACCCUUAAGAUGUAAAUCUGGCAUGGAGAUCUUUGGAGCCUUGAUGUUCAUCUCAGGCAUCUUGAACUUGGGGCCCUUCAGCUUUGCAUCUGGACCUUCAAUAUUCACAUCAGGAACAUCAAUGUCCACCUUGGGUCCUGAGACAUCAAGGUCAGCCUUGGGCAGAUUUACAUCCACUUCUGGGCCUUCUCCUUUGAAGCCAGGCAUGCUGAACUUGGGCAUUUUUAUUUUGGGCAUCUUCAGGUGCCAGUCUGGGCCAUGGACAUCCACAUCUGGAACAUCAAUGUCCACUUUGGGGUCUUUGAUGUCAACUUCAGGAACUUUAAUCUCACCUUCCACUUUGGGCAGAGACACAUCCACAUCACCCUUCACUUUGGGGCCUUUCAGGUUUAAGUCAAUGUCAGGCAUGGAGAUCUUGGGGGCCUUGAUGUUCAUCUCAGGCAUCUUGAACUUGGGGCCUUUCAGUUUUGCAUCUGGCCCUUCAAUAUUCACAUCUGGAACAUCAAUGUCCACCUUGGGUCCUGAGACAUCAAGGUCAGCCUUAGGCAGGCUCACAUCUACUUCAGGGCCUUCUCCCUUGAAGCCAGGCAUGCUGAACUUGGGCAUUUUUAUUUUGGGCAUCUUCAGGUGCCAGUCUGGGCCAUGAACAUCCACAUCUGGAACAUCAAUGUCCACUUUGGGGCCUUUGAUGUCAACUUCAGGAACUUUAAUCUCACCUUCCACUUUGGGCAGAGACACAUCCACAUCACCCUUCACUUUGGGGCCUUUCAGGUUUAAGUCAAUAUCAGGCAUGGAGAUCUUUGGAGCCUUGAUGUUCAUCUCAGGCAUCUUGAACUUGGGGCCCUUCAGUUUUGCAUCUGGCCCUUCAAUGUUCACAUCUGGAACAUCAAUGUCCACCUUGGGUCCUGAGACAUCAAUGUUAGCCUUAGGCAGGCUCACAUCCACUUCUGGGCCCUCUCCUUUGAAGCCAGGCAUGCUGAACUUGGGCAUUUUCACCUUGGGCAUCUUCAGGUGCCAGUCUGGGCCAUGAACAUCCACAUCUGGAACAUCAAUGUCCACUUUGGGGCCUUUGAUGUCAACUUCAGGAACUUUAAUCUCACCUUCCACUUUGGGUAGAGACACAUCCACAUCACCCUUCACUUUGGGACCUUUCAGGUUUAAGUCAAUAUCAGGCAUGGAGAUCUUAGGGGCUUUGAUGUUCAUCUCAGGCAUCUUAAAUUUGGGGCCUUUUAAGCUUCCCUCUGGACAUUCUACAUUGAGUUCUGGGCCCUCAAUAUUCAUACUGGGACCUUCUAUAUUAAUGUCUCCUUUUGGUAAAUCCACAGCCACAUCAGGCCCUUCUGCUUUUAUGCCAGACACACCAAACUUGGGCAUUUUCAUUUUGGGCAUUUUUAGAUUCCAUUCUGGUCCAUGAACAUCCACAUCUGGUGCAUUAAGUUGAACAUCUGGUGCUUUAAUGUCCACUUUGGGUCCUUUGAAGUCUCCUUCUAAAUUUGGGCCUGCUGCAUCUAGGUCUCCUUUGACUUUAGGACCCUUCAAGUUUAGCUCCACAUCGGGCAUGGAGACUUUGGGAGAUGAAAUGCUCAGAAAGGGCAUUUUAAACUUGGAUCCUUUCACUUUACCUUGGACUUCAACUUCUGGAGCAUUAAUAUCAACUUUUGGAGCUGUUAUAUCAACAUCUGGCUUUUUAAGUUUGACAUCCACUUCAGGUGUUUGAACUUUGGACCCAGAAAAAUUAAAUUUAGGAAGCUUAAAACGAGAUUUCUUUGCUUUCCCAUCAAUAUUGACCUUGGGAGCAGAAAUGUCCACUUCUGGGCCCUUCAAAUCCACCCUGGGAACUUUAAUGUCACCCUCCAGUUUGGGUCCAGAGAUAUCAACAUCUCCCUUGACCUUUGAGCCCUUUAAAUUCAAGUCAAUUUCUGGCAUAGAGAUCUUGGGCAUGCUUACAUGCAUGUCAGGCAUUUUCAGUUUGGGACCCUUUAAUUUUCCUUCAGGACCAUGAACAUCAAUAUCUGGAGCAUUUACAUCUAAUUUUGGGCUCUUUAUGUCAAGAGAAGGGCCUUUCAAAUCACCCUCUAUAUUUGGAAUGGAAACAUCCACAUCUCCUUUCACAUUGGGGCCUUUAAGAUUAAGAUUCAAAUCUGGCAUGGAGAUCUUAGGAGCCUUUAUGUUCACCUCUGGCAUCUUAAACUUGGGACCCUUCAGUUUUGCAUCUGGCCCUUCAAUAUUCACAUCAGGAACAUCAAUGUCCACCUUGGGUCCUGAGACAUCAAGGUCAGCCUUGGGCAGGUUCACAUCUACUUCAGGGCCUUCUCCCUUGAAGCCAGGCAUGCUGAACUUGGGCAUUUUCACCUUGGGCAUCUUCAGGUGCCAGUCUGGGCCAUGAACAUCCACAUCUGGAACAUCAAUGUCCACUUUGGGGCCUUUGAUGUCAACUUCAGGAACUUUAAUCUCACCUUCCACUUUGGGCAGAGACAUAUCCACAUCACCCUUCACUUUGGGGCCUUUCAGGUUUAAGUCAAUGUCAGGCAUGGAGAUCUUGGGGGCCUUGAUGUUCAUCUCAGGCAUCUUGAACUUGGGGCCUUUCAGUUUUGCAUCUGGCCCUUCAAUGUUCACAUCUGGAACAUCAAUGUCCACCUUGGGUCCUGAGACAUCAAGGUCAGCCUUGGGCAGGUUCACAUCUACUUCUGGACCCUCUGCUUUGAAGCCAGGCAUGCUGAACUUGGGCAUUUUCAUUUUGGGCAUCUUCAGGUGCCAGUCUGGGCCCUGCACGUCCAUAUCUGGAGCAUUGAUGUCCAUUUUGGGACCUUUGAUGUCAACAUCUGGGCCUUUGAGGUCACCUUCCACUUUGGGCAGGGAAACAUCUACAUCACCCUUCACUUUGGGACCCUUAAGAUGUAAAUCUGGCAUGGAGAUCUUUGGAGCCUUGAUGUUCAUCUCAGGCAUCUUGAACUUGGGGCCCUUCAGCUUUGCAUCUGGACCUUCAAUAUUCACAUCUGGAACAUCAAUGUCCACCUUGGGUCCUGAGACAUCAAGGUCAGCAUUGGGCAGGCUCACAUCUACUUCAGGGCCUUCUCCCUUGAAGCCAGGCAUGCUGAACUUGGGCAUUUUUAUUUUGGGCAUCUUCAGGUGCCAGUCUGGGCCAUGGACAUCCACAUCUGGAACAUCAAUGUCCACUUUGGGGCCUUUGAUGUCAACUUCAGGAACUUUAAUCUCACCUUCCACUUUGGGCAGAGACACAUCCACAUCACCCUUCACUUUGGGGCCUUUCAGGUUUAAGUCAAUGUCAGGCAUGGAGAUCUUGGGGGCCUUGAUGUUCAUCUCAGGCAUCUUGAACUUGGGGCCCUUCAGUUUUGCAUCUGGCCCUUCAAUGUUCACAUCAGGAACAUCAAUGUCCACCUUGGGUCCUGAGACAUCAAUGUCAGCCUUGGGCAAGUUCACAUCCACUUCUGGGCCCUCUGCUUUGAAGCCAGGCAUGCUGAACUUGGGCAUUUUCAUUUUGGGCAUCUUCAGGUGCCAGUCUGGGCCCUGCACGUCCACAUCUGGAGCAUUGAUAUCCACUUUGGGACCUUUGAUGUCAACCUCUGGGCCUUUGAUGUCACCUUCUACUUUGGGCAGAGAAAUAUCUACAUCACCCUUCACUUUAGGACCCUUAAGAUGCAAAUCAAAGUCAGGCAUGGAGAUCUUGGGAGCCUUGAUGUUCAUCUCAGGCAUUUUGAACUUCGGGCCUUUCAAUUUGCCCUCUGGUCCUUCAAUCUCAAUGUCUGGCCUGCUCAUGUCCACAUUUGGCCCUUUGAGGUCUCCUUCCAAUUUGGGAACAUCUACAUCCACCUCCCCCUUUAUCUUUGGACUCUUUAAGUGAAGAUCAAUGUCUGGCAUGGAGAUUUUGGGAGUUUUGAAGUGCAUGUCUGGCAUCUUGAACUUGGGGCUUUUCCAUUUACCUUCUGGGCCUUCAACAGCAACUUCUGGUAUGUUGGCAUCCAAUUUGGGGCCCUUGAGAUCCAGUUCUGGACCCUUUAAUUCUCCUUCAAUCUUAGGGACUGAAACGUCAAUAUCUCCUUUGAUUUUAGGACCCUUUAAGUUGAAAUCAACAUCAGGCAUGGAGAUCUUGGGGGCCUUGAAGUGCAUGUCAGGCAUCUUAAAUUUGGGGCCCUUCAGCUUCCCUUCUGGCCCUUCAAUAUUCACAUCUGGAACAUCAAUGUCCACCUUGGGUCCUGAGACAUCAAUGUCAGCCUUGGGCAAGUUCACAUCCACUUCUGGGCCCUCUGCUUUGAAGCCAGGCAUGCUGAACUUGGGCAUUUUCAUCUUGGGCAUCUUCAGGUGCCAGUCUGGGCCACGCACAUCCACAUCUGGGGCAUUGAUGUCCACUUUAGGGCCUUUGAUAUCCACAUCCACAUCUGGGGCACUGAUGUCCACUUUAGGGCCUUUGAUAUCCACAUCUGGCACUUUCAUUUCACCUUCUAUCUUGGGCACUGUCACAUCCAUGUCCCCCUUGACUUUGGGGCCCUUCAUGUUUAAGUCCACAUCAGGCAUGGAGAUCUUGGGUGCCUUGAAGUGCAUGUCAGGCAUCUUAAACUUGGGGCCCUUCAGCUUUCCUUCUGGUCCCUCAAGGCUCACAUCUGAGGUUUCAAUGUCAAGUUUAGGUCCUGAGACAUCAAUAGUAGCCUUAGGCAAGCUCACAUCCACAUCUGGACCCUCACCUUUGAGAGUAGGCAUACUGAACUUGGGCAUUUUCAUCUUUGGCAUCUUCAGGCUCCAUUCUGGGCCUUGCACAUCCACUUCUGGUGCUUUAAUAUCUACAUUUGGACCUUUAAUGUCCACAUCUGGAGCUUUCAUCUCUCCCUCUAUUUUUGGUGCAGACAUGUCUAGAUUUCCUUUCAUUUUGGGUCCUUUGAGAUCCAGAUCCACAUCUGGUAGAGACACCUUUGGAGCCUUGAAGUGCAUCUCAGGCAUCUUAAAUUUGGGGCCUUUCAACUUCCCUUCUGGUCCCUCAAGGUUCAGAUCUGGAGCACUAAUAUCUAGCUUUGGUACAGAAAUGUCCACAUCAGCCUUGGGCAUGUUCACAUCCAACUCUGGGCCUUCACCUUUGAGACUAGGCAUGCUGAAUUUGGGCAUUUUAAUCUUUGGCAUUUUCAAGUUCCAGUCGGGACCAUGAACAUCAACAUCUGGAACACUGACAUCUACUUUGGGGCCUUUCAAGUCUCCUUCCAGCUUUGGCAUUGUGACAUCAUAUUCUCCUUUAACUUUGGGGCCUUUCAUAUGCAAAUCCACAUCAGGCAUGGAUAUCUUUGGGGCCUUGAUGUUCAUCUCAGGCAUCUUCAGCUUAGGACCCUUCAGCUUUCCUUCAGGUCCUUCAAUGUUCACAUCUGGAACUUUGACAUCCACAUUGGGUCCUGAGACAUCAAUGUCAGACUUUGGGAGAUUCACCUCCAUUUCUGGGCUCUCUGCCUUGAAGCCUGGCAUGCCAAACUUGGGCAUUUUUAUCUUGGGCAUCUUCAUAUGCAAUUCAGGACCUUGAACAUCCACAUUUGGAACAUCAAUGUCCAGUUUAGCACUUUUAAGUUCAACAUCAGGAACUUUAAUCUCACCUUCUGCCCUUGGCACUGUGACAUCAUAUUCUCCCUUUACAUUGGGGCCUUUUAAGUGUAAGUCCACAUCUGGCAUGGAGAUCUUUGGAGCUCUGAUAUUCAUUUCAGGCAUUUUAAACUUAUGCCCUUUCAACUUCCCUUCUGAUCCUUCAAUGCUUACAUCUGGAGCACUGACUUCCACCUUAGUCCCAGAAAUGUCAAGGUCAGCCUUGGGCAGGUUCACAUCCACUUCUGGGCCCUCUGCUUUGAACCCUGGCACACUGAAUUUGGGCAUUUUCAUCUUGGGAAUCUUCAGGUCUGGGCCAUGAACAUCCACUUGUGGGGUGUCAAUGUCCACUUUGGAGCCUUUCAGUUCCCCCUCAAGCUUUGGUGGUGUUACUUCAUACUCUCCCUUCACCUUUGGCCCUUUGAUAUGCAGAUCCACAUCAGGCAUAGAAAUCUUUGGAGUCUUGACACUUACUUCAGGAAGAUUAAUGUCAGGGCCUUUAAGUUUGCCACCCAGACCCUCCAUGUUGACGUUUGGAGCUUCUACAUUGACCUUAGGCCCCGAAAUACUAAUAUCUCCUUCGGGCAGAGUAACAUUUACAUCUAGGCCUUCUCCUUUGACUCCUGGGACACUGAACUUGGGCAUCUUCAAAUUCCAUUCUGGACCAUGGACUUCUACAUCUGGAGCACUGAUGUCCAUUUUGGGGCCUUUGACAUCAACUUCAAGACCUUUGGCUUUUCCUUCUACAUUGGGGAGAAUGACAUCUACACCCCCUUUCCCUUUAGGUGCAGCUACAUUUAAGUCUACAUCUGCCAUAGAAAUCCUACAGGCCCCUAUUUUUCCAGAAGGGCUGCUGAUCUUGGGACCUGUCAAGGUCCCCUCUAAGUUUGGUGUCUCUAUGUCCACUCUGGAGCCUUUAACUGCCAUCUGAGGGCCUUUAACAUCACCUUUCACCUCAGGAGCAGAUGUCUUCAUAUUUCCUUUCAGUUUACAGGACCCCAGGCUCAGAUCCACAUCCUGCAUGGAGAUUUUAGGUUUCUGGAUGAUCAUUUCAGGAGUCUUGACUUUAGCACCCUUCAUCUUCCCUUCGAGCCCACCAGUAGCAAUCUCAGGCAGACUUACAUCCCCAGAGACCCCAGGAAGGGUCACUUCACCUGUGGGCAGUGCCACAUCAAGGCCAAUCCCCUCUCCCUUUGAACCUGAUGCAGAGAACUUAGGGACUUUCAUCUUGGGCAUAUUCAGUUUGCCCCCUAGCCCAUGAACAUCAACAUCAGGGGUUCCGAUUUCCACACUAGGACCAGUGAUGCUGCCCUCGAUUUUGGAAGCACAGGCAUCCAUUCCUAUGUUCCCUUGCAGCUUGGUACCUUUCAGGCCUAAGUCACCUUCAAGUGAUGGCCCAGUGAUCUGGGGACCCUUCAGUUUCCCCUCAAGCCCCUCAAUAUUGACAGAGGAGGGAUUUACUUCCAGGUGAGGAGCCUGGAUGUUUCCCCCAAUAGCCAAGCCUGGCUUGUCACCCUUGUGUCCCACAGAGGAUUCAGGUGCAGAAACACUCAGCCCUACCUCUGGAAUCUGGCCAUCCAGACCUGCGGAGACACCAAAUUUUGGCACCUUCAUGGUAGGAAUUUUAAUUUUCCCAAUAUCACCACUCUGGAGGGAUGGGGCCUGUACCUCUACUGAGCCAGCCCCAAGAGAAGACGAAACGUCUACUCCUGGAACUCGGAUCCCUCCUUUGCCACCCAAGUCCAAGCCUUUUGCUUUGACAUUGACAUCUAGGCUUCCCACCUUUGCCCCAGGCACAGUGACCUGGAAUUUUGAGUGGCCAGCACCUUCAAGCUCUGGUCCUGAAGCAGAAAUGGCACCUGCCCGGAUAUCCACAGCAGAGCCUGUGGUUGGAGAGGCUGGCCCGGAUCCCGAUGGCAGUCGGAUCACCGUUUUCCCUGGCUGGGUUUCCACAUCUGUGUUGGAGAUUUCAGUCACUUCAUGCCUUGGUAUCUUGAUCAUGAACUCAGGGCUGGUGAUGUCAAUGUCCUUCACUCCUUCCCGACCGGUCACAUCCACAGUGUAGGCUGUAACCCUUCUAGUCACUGUGAUGGUGCGGCUCUGGGUCUCCCCAAGGUCCCCUUCUACUCCAUCCUCCGACCUCAGGCGUGGCUUGAUCUUCGUGGUGUAGAUGCGCUGGUAGUCC